GAUGAACGCUGGCGGCGUGCCUAAUACAUGCAAGUCGAGCGAACAGACGAGGAGCUUGCUCCUCUGACGUUAGCGGCGGACGGGUGAGUAACACGUGGAUAACCUACCUAUAAGACUGGGAUAACUUCGGGAAACCGGAGCUAAUACCGGAUAAUAUAUUGAACCGCAUGGUUCAAUAGUGAAAGACGGUUUUGCUGUCACUUAUAGAUGGAUCCGCGCCGCAUUAGAUAGUUGGUAAGGUAACGGCUUACCAAGGCGACGAUGCGUAGCCGACCUGAGAGGGUGAUCGGCCACACUGGAACUGAGACACGGUCCAGACUCCUACGGGAGGCAGCAGUAGGGAAUCUUCCGCAAUGGGCGAAAGCUUGACGGAGCAACGCCGCGUGAGUGAUGAAGGUCUUCGGAUCGUAAAACUCUGUUAUUAGGGAAGAACAAAUGUGUAAGUAACUAUGCACGUCUUGACGGUACCUAAUCAGAAAGCCACGGCUAACUACGUG
rnacentral:rRNA from 1 species